rnacentral:rRNA from 1 species
CCUUACACAUGCAAGUCGAACGGCAGCAUGAUCUAGCUUGCUAGAUUGAUGGCGAGUGGCGAACGGGUGAGUAAUACAUCGGAACGUGCCCUGUAGUGGGGGAUAACUAGUCGAAAGAUUAGCUAAUACCGCAUACGACCUGAGGGUGAAAGUGGGGGACCGCAAGGCCUCAUGCUAUAGGAGCGGCCGAUGUCUGAUUAGCUAGUUGGUGAGGUAAAGGCUCACCAAGGCGACGAUCAGUAGCUGGUCUGAGAGGACGAUCAGCCACACUGGGACUGAGACACGGCCCAGACUCCUACGGGAGGCAGCAGUGGGGAAUUUUGGACAAUGGGCGAAAGCCUGAUCCAGCAAUGCCGCGUGUGUGAAGAAGGCCUUCGGGUUGUAAAGCACUUUUGUCCGGAAAGAAAUGGCUCUGGUUAAUACCUGGGGUCGAUGACGGUACCGGAAGAAUAAGGACCGGCUAACUACGUGCCAGCAGCCGCGGUAAUACGUAGGGUCCAAGCGUUAAUCGGAAUUACUGGGCGUAAAGCGUGCGCAGGCGGUUGUGCAAGACCGAUGUGAAAUCCCCGAGCUUAACUUGGGAAUUGCAUUGGUGACUGCACGGCUAGAGUGUGUCAGAGGGGGGUAGAAUUCCACGUGUAGCAGUGAAAUGCGUAGAGAUGUGGAGGAAUACCGAUGGCGAAGGCAGCCCCCUGGGAUAACACUGACGCUCAUGCACGAAA